rnacentral:rRNA from 1 species
AGAGUUUGAUCAUGGCUCAGAUUGAACGCUGGCGGCAGGCCUAACACAUGCAAGUCGAACGGUAACAGGAAACAGCUUGCUGUUUCGCUGACGAGUGGCGGACGGGUGAGUAAUGUCUGGGAAACUGCCUGAUGGAGGGGGAUAACUACUGGAAACGGUAGCUAAUACCGCAUAACGUCGCAAGACCAAAGAGGGGGACCUUCGGGCCUCUUGCCAUCAGAUGUGCCCAGAUGGGAUUAGCUAGUAGGUGGGGUAACGGCUCACCUAGGCGACGAUCCCUAGCUGGUCUGAGAGGAUGACAGCCACACUGGAACUGAGACACGGUCCAGACUCCUACGGGAGGCAGCAGUGGGGAAUAUUGCACAAUGGGCGCAAGCCUGAUGCAGCCAUGCCGCGUGUAUGAAGAAGGCCUUCGGGUUGUAAAGUACUUUCAGCGGGGAGGAAGGGAGUAAAGUUAAUACCUUUGCUCAUUGACGUUACCCGCAGAAGAAGCACCGGCUAACUCCGUGCCAGCAGCCGCGGUAAUACGGAGGGUGCAAGCGUUAAUCGGAAUUACUGGGCGUAAAGCGCACGCAGGCGGUUUGUUAAGUCAGAUGUGAAAUCCCCGGGCUCAACCUGGGAACUGCAUCUGAUACUGGCAAGCUUGAGUCUCGUAGAGGGGGGUAGAAUUCCAGGUGUAGCGGUGAAAUGCGUAGAGAUCUGGAGGAAUACCGGUGGCGAAGGCGGCCCCCUGGACGAAGACUGACGCUCAGGUGCGAAAGCGUGGGGAGCAAACAGGAUUAGAUACCCUGGUAGUCCACGCCGUAAACGAUGUCGACUUGGAGGUUGUGCCCUUGAGGCGUGGCUUCCGGAGCUAACGCGUUAAGUCGACCGCCUGGGGAGUACGGCCGCAAGGUUAAGACUCAAAUGAAUUGACGGGGGCCCGCACAAGCGGUGGAGCAUGUGGUUUAAUUCGAUGCAACGCGAAGAACCUUACCUGGUCUUGACAUCCACGGAAGUUUUCAGAGAUGAGAAUGUGCCUUCGGGAACCGUGAGACAGGUGCUGCAUGGCUGUCGUCAGCUCGUGUUGUGAAAUGUUGGGUUAAGUCCCGCAACGAGCGCAACCCUUAUCCUUUGUUGCCAGCGGUCCGGCCGGGAACUCAAAGGAGACUGCCAGUGAUAAACUGGAGGAAGGUGGGGAUGACGUCAAGUCAUCAUGGCCCUUACGACCAGGGCUACACACGUGCUACAAUGGCGCAUACAAAGAGAAGCGACCUCGCGAGAGCAAGCGGACCUCAUAAAGUGCGUCGUAGUCCGGAUUGGAGUCUGCAACUCGACUCCAUGAAGUCGGAAUCGCUAGUAAUCGUGGAUCAGAAUGCCACGGUGAAAACGUUCCCGGGCCUUGUACACACCGCCCGUCACACCAUGGGAGUGGGUUGCAAAAGAAGUAGGUAGCUUAACCUUCGGGAGGGCGCUUACCACUUUGUGAUUCAUGACUGGGGUGAAGUCGGAACAAGGUAACCGUAGGGGAACCUGCGGUUG